UUAUAUGCAAUGAUUAUGUUGGAUUGCGUCUCGUUGAGAAGAGGACCAAGGAAGACGCUCACAAUAAAGAGGAGUUAAACAAAGAACAAGUCAAUGGAAAUCUCAUAUAUGAUGAAUAAUUUCAAGAUUUGGAAGCACAAGAUGAAGAAAUAGAAGUUGAUACUGAUGUUUUUUUUAUUUUAUAGACGUUGAUGGAAUUUAAACCUAAACUUGUUCCGGAGCUCAUUAGGGACCAAUACAAGGAGUUCUUCCAUGUUCAGAAACUCUCUCUUGUCCUAGAUAUUCAAGUUGUUUGCAUGUUAAUUGUGGUGGAAACAAUAUAC